UAUUAACAUAUAUACAACAUAUAAUUAUAAUUGCAAAUAGAAUCAUUCAUAAUACAUAUAAUAAAAGUAAUCAUGCAUUAUAAUUAUUGCUUCACAAUUUAAGUUCAUAAUAUUGCAUUUGUCGUAUAGCUUUUCGUUAAAUUUGAAAAUAUAACUAAUCAUAAUGGCAGAAGGUGACCCAUUUGAUAACGAGUAUGAGAAUCAAAACUUAAGUACUCUACUUACAAAUACAUAUAAUAUGGAAAAUGGAAAUGAAACUGGAAUAUUAUUACAUAGAGUCUUGUGAAACGUUACUAUAUAGCCUAUUAAUUAUGGACAGUUGUUACCUCAUCAUGUGACUGUUUUUAUUCUGUUAACAUAUUUUAUAGUGUUAAUUAUAAUAAUAUUUAUAUGUAUAUGUCUAUACAGAAUGAUAAACAAUCAACCAAUUGAGGACGAUUUUCAAUUAAUGCCAAUGUUAUCUUUUGAAGAUGAAUCUCCAGAUGAGGAUAAUAAUUCUAGUUUUUUGGGAGAAAGUAGUGAAUAUGAAGAGACCAGACUAUGACAAGUUUAGAACCAAUAACCAUGUAUUAAAAGUAAUCAAUCUAUCAAUCAAUCAUUCAUUGAAUAAAAAUAUUAAAUAUAAAACGAUAUAAAGGAAAAAAACUUUAAGGUAUUACUAAGAUAGUAUGUUGAAAUUAAAAAUUGAGUAAAAAAUAUAAAAAUUAUAAUUUACAUAAAAAUGAUCAGAAUAUGAAGAUAGUAAUGAUGACAAUAGUAGAGAAUAAACAUGUAAGCAGUGUCAAGAUUGUCAAUAUCUAAAGUGACGAUAUUAACACUGUAUUUGUCAAAAAAAUGUUAUUAAAAAAUUACAACUUAAGAAAUAAAUAUAAUAUUACUAUAACGACAUAAAAUGGCAUAUUUUUGAAUAUGUAGUACUUAUUUAAAUAAAAAAGCAUAAGAAUAUAUAUAAUAGUACCAAUAUACAAUUACAAGCUUAAAUUAUA